GACGAACGCUGGCGGCGUGCUUAACACAUGCAAGUCGAACGGAAAGGCCCUGCUUUUGUGGGGUGCUCGAGUGGCGAACGGGUGAGUAACACGUGAGUAACCUGCCCUUGACUUUGGGAUAACUUCAGGAAACUGGGGCUAAUACCGGAUAGGAGCUCCUGCUGCAUGGUGGGGGUUGGAAAGUUUCGGCGGUUGGGGAUAGACUCGCGGCUUAUCAGCUUGUUGGUGGGGUAGUGGCUUACCAAGGCUUUGACGGGUAGCCGGCCUGGGAGGGUGACCGGCCACAAGGGGACUGAGGUACGGCGCAGAAUCCUACGGGAGGCAGCGGUGGGGAAUAUUGCACAAUGGGCGGAAGCCUGAUGCAGCGACGCCGCGUGCGGGAUGACGGCCUUCGGGUUGUAAACCGCUUUCGCCUGUGACGAAGCGUGAGUGACGGUAAUGGGUAAAGAAGCACCGGCUAACUACGUG
rnacentral:rRNA from 1 species